GGAAUAUUGGACAAUGGGGGCAACCCUGAUCCAGCAAUGCCAUGUGUGUGAAGAAGGCCUUCGGGUUGUAAAGCACUUUAGUUGGGGAAGAAGGUAUGUAGGUUAAUACCCUAUGUACUUGACAUUACCCAAAGAAUAAGCACCGGCUAACUCUGUGCCAGCAGCCGCGGUAAUACAGAGGGUGCAAGCGUUAAUCGGAAUUACUGGGCGUAAAGGGCUCGUAGGUGGUUAGAUAAGUCAGAUGUGAAAUCCCUGGGCUCAACCUAGGAAUUGCAUUUGAUACUGUGUAGCUAGAGUAUGAUAGAGGGAAGUGGAAUUUCUGGUGUAGCGGUGAAAUGCGUAGAUAUCAGAAGGAACAUCAGUGGCGAAGGCGACUUCCUGGAUUAAUACUGACACUGAGGAGCGAAAGCGUGGGGAUCAAACA
rnacentral:rRNA from 1 species